UGGAAGUUAGCUCAGUUGGUUAGAGCGUCUGACUGUUAAUCAGAAUGUCACGUGUUCAAAUCACGUACUUCCAGCCA
rnacentral:tRNA from 1 species